UAAGUUACCAGUGUUCGUGAACCCACCAAAGUAAAAGAAAAAAAAGCUUUUCCGCAGUCAUCUUUCCCCCAAGUUUUCCCCACGCCGGCGGUCAGAACCAGAGGAGCCCUCCUCGGGCCGGCGCCUCCCCCGCCGCCGCCAUCAAGGCCCGGAAGCAAUCGCCCGCUCAGCCGAUUUACUGGUCCAGGUCACCUCCGCCGCUGUCACGGCGGGCAGGGCUCCCGGCCAGUCUCCGUCAUGGCCGCCGCCACCUCCGACGCUCCCCGGCCACAGGUUGGGUCGAAAGGUGCUCGAUGAUUCGCUUCAUAGGACUACUGCUGCUCGGAUUGAUUUCGUUGUUACACAGGUCUUUUGCUAAUCCCGUUUGUCCAGAUUGUUCUUUGCUGCGACUUGCAUAUGCAAAACUCAUACAGUGCUAAUAUGGAAUAUCAGGCUUUCACGUUUCAUAGUACUUCUUAUUUCUUCUUCUCAACACAACUUCUCUCAUCCGAGAAAAAAUCACGGAUGAUUGGUUCCCAUAUUAUUUUCUGUUUUGUGUGUGUUUAUUGUACAUUUGAUUAUAUCCAUUUCUAAUAGGGAUAAUAUGUUGAUGCUAGAGCUUAAACUCUAAAAUCGGAAAAGGGCGGUGUGUUCAGGAUGUGGUUGAGAGAAUAGUAGUUGGCAGAUACUGGAUUACCUGACCAGAAAGAGUAUCAUGGAAUUGGAUACGGACUUCCCUCAGGUUUUUGCAAUUUAGAUUAGCAAAUCACUUUUACUAUGUACGAAACUGAUCUGUUUCUUCUCAUUUAGGAUAGACGCAGUAAAAAAGAUGUCGUCAUUAUUCUUAUUUUCCUUUGUUACUGAAGAUUAUUCCGUACACAGACACACACACACACACGCAACUGUGAAGGUAUAUGUGUUUUUUGUUUUUGGACAAGUCAUAUACAUGUUUGACUGGUAAUCAUGAUGCCUUGCUUCCUUUCUUUGCUGAAAUUUUACAACAAUGCCUCUACUAACCUCAUUUCAAUUGAUGAGUACAGACCUUCUGUUUGUUUUUGUGUGUGUUAAAUGGCAUAGGAAUUUCUCCCCUGGAGCUUUCCAGUUCAGAGAACUGAAUUUGACACUCCAAAUCAUAAGACAACAUUCAACAUUACUACGCAAGGGAACUUCAGAAAAUAUUUUCCUGUCCCUGGUAGAAACAGAACUGAAGAUUACACCCUUCAGGUUAGGAAUGGCUGACCGAGAGCAGUGUGCACAUCUCUGAGGCCAAACGAGGUGUUGGAGUCGAGGAUUUGACACAAUUUGGAUCGAAUUACUGCUAUCUAUCCAACCGAUCUUUCUCUCCUCGGCUCUUGGUAGUUCGUCCCUGAGAUUGGUUUUCUAUGCCUAAGAAAGUGGAAUGGAGGGAGUAAUGCCUUGAGGUCUUAUUUAUUAUAAUUAUAGUCAAUGUAGUUCCAUUUUCAUAUUGUAGAGAUGAUAUUCGUUGUGUUACCUUGGGCCUGUAGGGUAUGUCAACCGGCUUUACCUAUGGAACACUUAGUUUAUUCCCAGUACUUUAUCAGCAAUCAUUUUUGUUAAAAGUAACUGUAUGCCACCACAGUGGCAAGAGUUCAUUCUCUUAAUAGGAUACUCUUGCAUUGCUA